UGUAAGUACUUGCGGUUAUGCAGUGAUUCAUUUAGUCAUGCAACAGAAGUUCAUGUAAUGAAAAAUGAUUUUUAGCAACGAAUACUUAAAACGUCCUCAUUGUGAAUUGUAAUUUCUAUCCCGAUAGACGAAAAUCAGUUUUACCGUUCAGGUCAAGUGACGUUUUCGAGUGCACCCUAUGACGAUAGUAGCAUAAUCCUCAUAGUUGGGUCGAUCGAUAAUCCCAGCAGCGGGUUUCAGGACUUUUCCAUGGUUUUUUUCCUGAUGAUUGAGCCCCAUACAUCCAUUUUCACGACUGCUACUUUCCGUUUGAAUAUCAUUUCACAAUUCUACACUUCUCAGCCUUAUUUUGCGGUUCACCGCUCUUGAAGUAACUGUUAAGUGCCGAUCGUCCUUCGUCCUGAUCUGGCCAGUGUUUCGAUUGAUUGAAAAAAAAGUAGUUUGGUGUUUUUUAUCGUGAUUUUUUGUGCAUUCUCCUUCGCAUCGUACUUUCCUUCUUCGCUGUUAAACUAAAAAGCAAAAAUUAUAGCGAACAAAAAGUGAAAAAGUUCGAGCGGCAGUAGGUACAGAAUAAUAAUCUUCGUGUGGUUAUUGUGCGGAGGAGGUUAAAUAAUGAUAUAAAAUGUAAGUUUACCAAUAAUAUACUGCAACAGUGAUUUGCAUGAGAUCCUUUGAAUAAAUUGCGGUGGGCACUCAGCGGUCAUUUUUACACUUUCUUACUCGACAGAAUUAAAUUGCGUCUCCUCGAGUCAAUUGUUUGUAUAACCCAGUGUCAGUGAUGAAAUGAUUGGUUUUAUUAAAGCAAUGGUUACUAUACAUUUGACUUAUACCGAUAAAAAUUAAGGGGGCAUCAUUUUGAAUGCAACCGCAAAAGCAAUCGGUUAUUCCCCCCAUUUUCGCCCUCUUAACUAUUUCCAAAUUUUUUGGAGAAUGGCCAGGCCACAAUUUUUUUUGAAAAAAUCAAAGAUUAUUAACGGUUUUCUUUAUAAUUAUCACCAUCAUCAAAAUUGAUUUGACUAAUUUCAUAAUUACACUAACCAAUGAAUGUGUUUAUUGUUUACGAACUAUCUUUU
rnacentral:lncRNA from 1 species